CACAUUCUAUGCUUCGCUAAGCAUCUACUUUUACUAGGUAGAGGAAUUUUCAUCCAACCCCAUCUUACUCAUCCUUCAAUAUUCUCUGAGCCACUAAACUUACCCAAGUUCUCCUAUUGCCCCUACAUUAAAAUGGCCUAUGGGUGUGUCUGCUUCCUCCAUUAGAGAAGUAACUAAUCAAGGCAAAGGAACCGGUCUUUCUGGUCCUUGUAUUACUAACAGCUGACAAAAAUGUCUGUUCCUUAGGAGACUUGCAAUAACUCCAUAUUAUAUAUAACUAACUGAACUGGGCAAAUAUUUUCAUGUUCUCUUUCUCAGCAAGAAUUUAUAAAGCACUUACCUGAGCAUGGACAGUUCUUCCUCCCUGAGAAAGCAGACCUCCCCACAUACCCUUGAGUCAGCCCUGCCUGCCUCCUAGAGGCACUCAAUGAGACCUUGUCUGUAUUGCUAAUUUUCAAAACUGACUGCAACACUAGAAUUACCCAAAAUGCUUUUAACAUAGUCUUAUGUCCAGUUCUAACCUUGGACCACUGAAAUCAGAAUUUCUAGGGAUGAUUCUCAGGCUAUUUUUAACAGACUUUCCAGGUGAUGGUAGUGUGAAGCCAUGAUUAAGAAACACAAGUCUACAUGUAAGGUAAAAUGAAGGAGAGUUGAAAGCUCUUAAGACAGUACCACCUCCAGUCAGCAAGCAAGGGCCCUACCCAGGGGACACAAUUGGGAAUCUCUUUCUCAAAAGUUCUGAGCUCCAUUCAGAUGUCUAGAAUUGGUUCAGGAAUAUAGCAAGUUUCAUGGCCAAACCAGGACCCAUGUGGACCCCAGUCAGCUCCCUUGGAGGUCCUCUUGGAUCCCCCACCCUCCCGGGAGGUGAACCAGACACCUUAAGUGACUAUAUAACUCAUAACUAUAUGGUAAUCUCAGGUCUAGGAGCCAGACCCCCAUUCUAGGAGGGAGAACUGGCAAGAUGUUCUCUCCCAGUGGUUGGCAGAAUAUUUCUUUCAUAGCAUAAGAUUGGGCCACUGGAAUUGUGUUGAUGUACUGAUAUUGAGUGACUCACACCAAACAAAAGAUGAGUUCAGGACUCCAGGCUACCUAGUGGUCCAUGGAAAACUCUUGGGCUGAGCUUGGUAGGUGGGCCUGGUGCAUGCUGGCUGGGCUUAUUCUCACCGUGGAAUCCCCUUUGAUCAUGAUAUACAGAGGUGACAGGGCAGGGGGGUGGGUGCCAGGCAUCCUUUAUCCUGAGCACUCUCUACUACUGGAACCCACAGCAGUCACCAUACCUCUUCCAAAGGCUCCAGGCCAUUUGAGACCGUCUACCUAUCCCUCCUAUGAGCUUUUGAGACUGUUGCUCCAUAAAUUCUAGCCCCCCACUCCCACCAUGAUCCUCUCUUACCUCUGAUUAAUGGAAUACUGUACUCUCUUGGGUAGAGACAUAGUCAUGCCAGACAAGAAAGAGACAUCCCUUACACUAAUAGGGCCACUAUCUACAGUCUACCAGUUGGCUCCCUUGUUGUCCUCCCCACUGAUGGGAGUGUGUGGAAGGGCAGGUCCUGGUCAACCCUGAAAGAGAUCACUCUCUAGGAAUGCCGUGUGCUGCCCAGAGAUGUCAAAAGAGUUGGAAAAUGUGUUGCUCUGUGCUCGUUGCAGUCAGAAUGGUGAACUUAGCAUGACUAGAAGAUGAAUGACCAUGCACAUUGUUCCUGGAUGCUCCAGGUAAGAUGGGCACUGUGGUCCGCAUCAGGAGAGCACAGAAACAAUCUGAGAGUCAUGGAAGACAAGCCUCACAGGCAGCAUGAUGGAUAGCAUGGUGUCAUGAGUAACCAUAUAGCCAGCAGUAAAUAAGUAGCCACAGGAAUGACAGAGGCCAGAAGGUCCAUAUUGACUCACUACCAACAGUUUCUAAAGAGCUGCAGGUUUGCGAGCAAUAGGAAGGUUGACAAGUGUUCCUCUCAGAGUAGUUGUGAAAUUAGCCAGAAAUGGUUGAUUUGAUAGGAAAGAAUAUAAAGAAACGGUUUCAGGCCUGAAGCUAAAGAAACGGUGUCUGGACACUAUGAAUAAUGGUCAUGAAUUGUUUGGACAAUAAACAAACAUAAGUGUCUCUUUUCUAUACGUUUUUCUAAAUCUUUAUCAAUAUGUCACUAUAAUGCAGUUAGGCCCAUGACUUAUGCAAUUUUUAUUUGGUGCUAUUCCCAAAAUAUUCAAAGAGGAUAAAAAUACAUUUUAAGGGACUUGGAUUUGGUUAUGCACCAUUAUAUUUUCUUAAACAUCAUUCACAACCUGAACUGUAUGUGGCUCCUCCAAUGGACCAAGCUCCUAGAAUUUCGUAGGUGAUCAAUUGCAGGCCUGGUCAUUCAUUCAUCUGUGUAUUUCCAGAAGAAGAGCCCCUGACACAUGGUAGGUGUUCACAUAAAUGCUUGAUGAGUAAAUACUGGUCAUACUCGUGCCACUGAUUUUUAUCUUUGUGGGACUAUCAAGGGCACCCGGCCUCCUUCCAUGACACACCUCUGAGUGUUUUUGAUCUCCGGCUGGAGGUUACCCUUUCUGGCUUACAAAGCAUCGUGAGAUGGCUUAUCUCAUCAGCCAGGAGACAUUCCCUGAGCCCACCCUGUGUCUGGCUCUGAAGGACAAGGAUGAGGAGAAAAGUCACUGCUCCCAAAAAAGUAAAAAAACUCCAUGGAAGUAGUCACCAUAUUAAAAGUAGACAUGAUGUUGAAAGGCAGCAUGUUAGGGACAGCAACAGAGGCUCCAACUGACCCACAGGAGUUGGGAGGAGAAAAGUGAAAGUUGGAAGAUGUGGCUUCCCAGGAUGAACUGGAAAGAUAAGUGAGUUUCAGCAGGCAGAAACAGAGGGAAAGAUCUUUCUAGAACUUCAAUAACAGAAUGGAACUCCCUUCCUUAGACCCCUGAUGACUUUUUAUUACACUCAAAUCCUUCCCCUGCCCCCAAGGUCCUACAUGAUUGAGACACCUGCCUCUUCCACCUCAUCUCCCAUCUCUCUCUGUAUCACUCCUGUGUUUUGCUCUCUUUGCUUACCUUGAGGCUCUUCAGACACAUCAAGCUUUUUCCAAUCUUAUGACCUAGAUGUUUGUUCUUUGCUCUGCUAGCACACACCACAGCCCCGAGUCUUCAUGCAGCCAACUCAGGCCUCCUGUUCAAUGUCACCCCCUGACCAACCAUUUAUCUCCCUAUUCUACCAUAUCUUUGACCAUAUGAUACCAUAUCUUUUCCUUUAGAAAAGUGUCUAAAUAUAUAAACAUAUUUGUGUUCCACCUCAUCUUUGGUCUCUCUUUCACAUUUUAAGUUUUAGGAGUCAAGGACUUUGAGGACCUCAUCGACUGCUAUUCCUCUGGCACCUGAAAGAGUGCCCAGCAGGUAGCAGUUUCUCAGUAAAUAUUUUUUUAAUGGAUUAAUGACAAAGGAUUACUUGAUCGAACCCAAAGUUGCCAAGGCCAUGUGCCAUAGACUAUCAGAUACCCCAGGAGGAAUCUGGAUCCAGAACAAGGUGGGGGCAUGGGGUUGCUAUAGCCAGACCCAUGAAGAGCAUGCUACAAAAUUUGAACUUUAUCAUAUAAAGGAUAGGAAACUAAACAAAAAAUGUUGUAAAGAAAUGGUCAUAAAACCCAUGUAGGAAGAUUAACAUGGUGGCAAUGUUGAGAGUGUCUUGAAGAAGGAUCAGAAACUUCAGGUAAAGUGUCCAGUUAGCAGCCAGAAAUUCAGAUAAAAGUAAAUAAAGGCAUUGACAUUUGGAAGAGUGAAGAAAAGGCCAAUUUAAGAGGAAGUAGAACCAUCCAUGCAUUGAUUAUGCAAGAGAAGAUUUAAAUGAUCUCUAUAACUGGGUACAUAGUAGGUACUAGAUAAAUAUUGAUUAAAUAAAUUGACAUGGCUUGGAUGACUGAGUAUGGUGAUUCAAUUGAGCAAAUUAAAAUGUGUAAGGGCAUGAGCAAAUUAGUGGUAGAAGACACGGGAGGUGGAUCUGUGGAUAUGUGGCAUUUGAUCUGCUUAUAAUGCUUCCAAGGGCAUAAGAUUGAGAUAUGAAUCUUACAAGUUGGGGCUGAAAAUGUGACUAGACGGCCACCUGCUAAAGGGGAUUUCUGAAAGGUAGUGAGUGAGGACCAUUGAUUAUUGGGCCAUACCAAACAUGAAAGUGACCACUCAGAGGUGCUUGGGGACCCAGAUGCCUAUCCUGGGAGCAAGGAGCAAAGGCAGGCCUCAACUCCAGGCCUUGUCAGUUCACUUUCAAUCUCUUCAGCCAAGUAUUGCUCUAAGAAUAGAAGAGUUGUGUUAAGCGUUGUUGAUUUGAGAGGGCCUCCGAUGGCUUCAAGUAAAC
rnacentral:lncRNA from 1 species